AACUACAAGAUAAACUAGAGAUGAUGAAUAGGGAGCAACCACAAGACCAUGAUGAACUGUGACCUCUCUGGUUAGGCCUGCUUGGGAACUGUGACCUCGACUAAUUCCACAGGAUACUUGCACCUCAAGGGACGCAAAAAGGGGCAAAGUGAUCCAUUGGCGUAUUUUCUCAAGAACAGUAUCAACCAUUUAUGAAGUCAUACCCCCUUUAUAUUUUUGUUUCGGAACUCACUUCUGAUGUAGUU
rnacentral:lncRNA from 1 species